UGCGUAGGCGGGUUGGUAAGUCCGUGGUGAAAUCCCCAAGCUUACUUGGGAACUGCCGUGGAUACUAUCAAUCUUGAAUAUCGUGGAGGUAAGCGGAAUAUGUCAUGUAGCGGUGAAAUGCUUAGAUAUGACAUAGAACACCAAUUGCGUAGGCAGCUUACUACACGAUCAUUGACGCUGAGGCAAGACUGGGGAGCAAAC
rnacentral:rRNA from 1 species